rnacentral:rRNA from 1 species
AGUGAACGCUGGCGGUAGGCCUAACACAUGCAAGUCGAACGGCAGCACAGUAAGAGCUUGCUCUUACGGGUGGCGAGUGGCGGACGGGUGAGGAAUACAUCGGCAUCUACUUUUUCGUGGGGGAUAACGUAGGGAAACUUACGCUAAUACCGCAUACGACCUACGGGUGAAAGCAGGGGAUCUUCGGACCUUGCGCGAUUGAAUGAGCCGAUGUCGGAUUAGCUAGUUGGCGGGGUAAAGGCCCACCAAGGCGACGAUCCGUAGCUGGUCUGAGAGGAUGAUCAGCCACACUGGAACUGAGACACGGUCCAGACUCCUACGGGAGGCAGCAGUGGGGAAUAUUGGACAAUGGGCGCAAGCCUGAUCCAGCCAUACCGCGUGGGUGAAGAAGGCCUUCGGGUUGUAAAGCCCUUUUGUUGGGAAAGAAAAGCAGCAGGUUAAUACCCCGCUGUUAUGACGGUACCCAAAGAAUAAGCACCGGCUAACUACGUG